rnacentral:rRNA from 1 species
ACGUGACUUCGGUCACUAGUAGAGCGGCGAACGGGUGAGUAACACGUGGAUAACCUACCUAGGAGCGGGGGAUAACUCGGGGAAACGCGAGCUAAUACCGCAUACGUUCGCGAGGCUACGGCCUCGUGAGGAAAGAUGGCCUCUUCUUGAAAGCCAUCACUCUUAGAGGGGUCCGCGGCUGAUUAGCUAGUUGGUGAGGUAACGGCUCACCAAGGCUGCGAUCAGUAGCCGGCCUGAGAGGGCGAUCGGCCACACUGGGACUGAGACACGGCCCAGACUCCUACGGGAGGCAGCAGUGGGGAAUAUUGGACAAUGGGGGAAACCCUGAUCCAGCAACGCCGCGUGGAGGACGAAGGUUCUCGGAUCGUAAACUCCUGUCAGAAGGGACGAACGGUCAACGGUUAAUAUCCGUUGUCCUUGACGGUACCUUCAGAGGAAGCCCCGGCUAACUCCGUGCCAGCAGCCGCGGUAAUACGGGGGGGGCAAGCGUUAUUCGGAAUUAUUGGGCGUAAAGGGCGCGUAGGCGGCUUGAUAAGUCAAAGGUGAAAUCCCUCGGCUCAACCGGGGAACUGCCUUUGAUACUGUCUCGCUUGAGGCCGGGAGGGGGUAGCGGAAUUCCCAGUGUAGCGGUGAAAUGCGUAGAUAUUGGGAGGAACACCGGUGGCGAAGGCGGCUACCUGGACCGGUUCUGACGCUGAGGCGCGAAAGCGUGGGGAGCAAACAGGAUUAGAUA